GUAUGCCUAGAGAUCUAGUUAUAGAUCAAGGGAAGGCGAGCAAAUGGUCCUGGAUCUGAUAGUCCACCUCACAGUCUUCUCAAAAUCAUUUAAGAAGUACCUAAACAGUGGGGAAUUAAGUUUGAGUUUUCCUUUGUGUAUGGAGUGGACCCAAACCUACGCAGAUUUGGUUUAUGGGCAUGGGAACACGAGAUUAAAAGAGAAACUUGACAGUCCGUUGGAAAAAAACAACAACAACCGUGUAUUGAACACAAUGAAGUGAAUCGCUUUGCAGAAGGCAAACGCUCAGACAUUUGAUUAGAAAGUUUACGCAAAAUGUGUCUAAGAGCAAAACCGCGAACAGCUGGGAUGAAUUGCACAGCCAUGCAGAAUAUGGGGCUAUGAAGUUUGAAUCCCUGAUAAUUACAUGAGUGAGUAAAAAUUGCUGAACACGUUUUCUUUACAUCUUUUUAAUGAUGAUAGCUAUGAAAAUGGUCACCCCCCGAAGUAUGUCGCAAGAAUGUUUUCCCCGAACGUGGUGAUGUCUGGCGCAGAUCUCUGAGAGACAGUUCAAUUUAGUAUUCUUGUGGCUAACCUGUCCUAUAUUUUGGCUGUCGUCAUUUUUUUGUGUGUGAAAGAAAAAAAAUAAACUCACUAACUGAAA